UGGGGAAUCUUCCGCAAUGGACGAAAGUCUGACGGAGCAACGCCGCGUGUAUGAUGAAGGUCUUCGGAUUGUAAAGUACUGUCAUUGGGGAAGAACGGUUUUCUUGAAAAGAUUGAGAAGACAUGACGGUACCCAAGGAGGAAGCCCCGGCUAACUACGUGCCAGCAGCCGCGGUAAUACGUAGGGGGCAAGCGUUGUCCGGAAUUAUUGGGCGUAAAGGGCGCGUAGGCGGGCCUUUAAGUCCGGUGUGAAAGAUCAGGGCUCAACCCUGAGAGUGCAUCGGAAACUGGAGGCCUUGAGGACAGGAGAGGAAAGUGGAAUUCCACGUGUAGCGGUGAAAUGCGUAGAUAUGUGGAGGAACACCAGUGGCGAAGGCGACUUUCUGGACUGUAACUGACGCUGAGGCGCGAAAGCGUGGGGAGCAAACAGGAUUAGAUACCCUGGUAGUCCACGCCGUAAACGAUGAGUGCUAGGUGUAGAGGGUAUCGACCCCUUCUGUGCCGCAGUUAACACAAUAAGCACUCCGCCUGGGGAGUACGGCCGCAAGGUUGAAACUUAAAGGAAUUGACGGGGUCAUAGCUG
rnacentral:rRNA from 1 species